rnacentral:rRNA from 1 species
AUUGAACGCUGGCGGCAGGCCUAACACAUGCAAGUCGAACGAGUGGCGGACGGGUGAGUAAUGUCUGGGAAACUGCCUGAUGGAGGGGGAUAACUACUGGAAACGGUAGCUAAUACCGCAUACCAUCAGAUGUGCCCAGAUGGGAUUAGCUAGUUGGUGGGGUAACGGCUCACCAAGGCGACGAGCCCUAGCUGGUUUGAGAGGAUGACCAGCCACACGGGCACUGAGACACUGUCACGACUCCGACGGUGUUCAGCAGUGGGGAAUAUUGCGAUAUGGGCGCAAGGCUGAUGCAGCCAUGCCGCGUGUCUUAGGAAGGCCUUAGGGUUGUAAAGUACUUUCAGUGGGGAGGCGUUACCCGCAGAAGAAGCACCGGCUAACUCCGUGCCAGCAGCCGCGGUAAUUC